rnacentral:rRNA from 1 species
UGGGGAAUAUUGCACAAUGGGCGCAAGCCUGAUGCAGCCAUGCCGCGUGUGUGAAGAAGGCCUUCGGGUUGUAAAGCACUUUCAGCGAGGAGGAAGGCGUUAAGGUUAAUAACCUUGGCGAUUGACGUUACUCGCAGAAGAAGCACCGGCUAACUCCGUGCCAGCAGCCGCGGUAAUACGGAGGGUGCAAGCGUUAAUCGGAAUUACUGGGCGUAAAGCGCACGCAGGCGGUUUGUUAAGUCAGAUGUGAAAUCCCCGAGCUUAACUUGGGAACUGCAUUUGAAACUGGCAAGCUAGAGUCUUGUAGAGGGGGGUAGAAUUCCAGGUGUAGCGGUGAAAUGCGUAGAGAUCUGGAGGAAUACCGGUGGCGAAGGCGGCCCCCUGGACAAAGACUGACGCUCAGGUGCGAAAGCGUGGGGCAGCAAACAGGAUUAGAUACCCUGGUAGUCCACGCUGUAAACGAUGUCGAUUUGGAGGUUGUGGGCUUGACCCGUGGCUUCCGGAGCUAACGCGUUAAAUCGACCGCCUGGGGAGUACGGCCGCAAGGUUAA